CCUACGGGAUGCACCAGUGGGGAAUAUUGCACAAUGGGCGCAAGCCUGAUGCAGCCAUGCCGCGUGUGUGAAGAAGGCCUUCGGGUUGUAAAGCACUUUCAGUAGGGAGGAAGGUAAUGUAGUUAACACCUGCACUAUUUGACGUUACCUACAGAAGAAGCACCGGCUAACUCCGUGCCAGCAGCCGCGGUAAUACGGAGGGUGCGAGCGUUAAUCGGAAUUACUGGGCGUAAAGCGCACGCAGGCGGUCUGUCAAGUCGGAUGUGAAAUCCCCGGGCUCAACCUGGGAACUGCAUUCGAAACUGGCAGGCUAGAGUCUUGUAGAGGGGGGUAGAAUUCCAGGUGUAGCGGUGAAAUGCGUAGAGAUCUGGAGGAAUACCGGUGGCGAAGGCGGCCCCCUGGACAAAGACUGACGCUCAGGUGCGAAAGCGUGGGGAGCAAACAGGAUUAGAUACCCCCGUAGUC
rnacentral:rRNA from 1 species